UACGGGGGGGGCAAGCGUUGUUCGGAAUUACUGGGCGUAAAGGGCUCGUAGGCGGCCAACUAAGUCAGACGUGAAAUCCCUCGGCUUAACCGGGGAACUGCGUCUGAUACUGGAUGGCUUGAGGUUGGGAGAGGGAUGCGGAAUUCCAGGUGUAGCGGUGAAAUGCGUAGAUAUCUGGAGGAACACCGGUGGCGAAGGCGGCAUCCUGGACCAAUUCUGACGCUGAGGAGCGAAAAGCCAGGGGGAGCAAACGGG
rnacentral:rRNA from 1 species